rnacentral:rRNA from 1 species
GCGAGUGAACCGGGAUGAGCUCAAAUUUAAAAUCUGGCGUCUUUCAGGCGUCCGAGUUGUAAUCUAUAGAGGCGUUUUCCGCGCCGGACCGCGUCCAAGUCUCUUGGAAUAGAGUAUCAAAGAGGGUGACAAUCCCGUACUUGACGCGACAACCGGUGCUCUGUGAUACGUUCUCAAUGAGUCGAGUUGUUUGGGAAUGCAGCUCUAAAUGGGUGGUAAAUUCCAUCUAAGGCUAAAUAUUGGCGAGAGACCGAUAGCGAACAAGUACCGUGAGGGAAAGAUGAAAAGCACUUUGGAAAGAGAGUUAAACAGCACGUGAAAUUGUUAAAAGGGAAACGAUUGAAGUCAGUCGUGUGAAAGGUAUUCAGCCGUCUCUGGCGGUGUAUUUGCCUUUCACGGGUCAACAUCAGUUUGAUCCGGUAGAAAAAGGCGGGAGGAAGGUGGCACCCUCGGGUGUGUUAUAGCCUCCUGUCAUAUGUGCCGGACCAGACUGAGGAACGCAGCUUGCCGCAAGGCCGGGGUUCGCCCACGUACAAGCUUAGGAUGUUGACAUAAUGGCUUUAAACGACCCGUC